GAAGUUAGCCGGAACUUCUUUUGUACGCUACUGUCAUCAUCAUCACGUCUGAAAGAGCUUUACAACCCUAAGGCCUUCUUCACUCACGCGGCAUGGCUGCGUCAGAGUUUCCUCCAUUGCGCAAUAUUCCCCA
rnacentral:rRNA from 1 species